UCUUUCAAUUCAUCGUUGACAGAAGCGUAUCAUUGCUAUCGCAGUUGUUAUUUUAUCAGAUUUCAUCGACCUAUUUGAGUUCAAGUGACUUCUUGUUAUUGCAGAUAGGUUUGUAGAUGUUAUUUUGCAUGUAUCCAUUUUGUUUUCUCCUGAAAUGUCUCCGAAUUUGUGUUUGUUACCAUUGUAAACAAAACAGACCAUCCUUGACAACCAGGAAAUAGUAUUAAACAUUUUGAGGUCCUCUUUGAAAACGUUUUCCUUUAGAUUAGUGUUGUAUUAUCGAUUUCUUCAUUUAUCAGCUUGUUUGCCUAUCACAUUGAGACGCACGUUGUAAGUAUUUCGGUAAUUCUGGAGCCACCACGUUUGUUUUGACCCCAAAACUGACCUGAAUUCUGAUCAUGUUUAUGAACGGCCCAACCCACAAAAAACGACAAGUAGAUUAUCCUAAACCCUAUGACCUUACCCACAAGUCCGUAGCCCAAGUCUAAUAAAAUUUCUUUCGGUCAAGUAAGCUUUGCUAGUAAAAGUUCAUACAUUAACACUAAGAUCGGGUGAAAUGAUAGAAUGCAGGCUACAUCAGUGGGCUAAAACUGCACUGUUUUUGUGAAAACGGCUAGGCUGAUGAAGUCCCUCCAAAUGAUGUCAAGUGACAUGUUCAGACACAGCAUGUAACAAAUAUUCAAAGACAUAGAAUAUUGGUUGGGGUUUAUUAGUUACAUGGUCCUGUGUUUUGUGCAAGCAGACUCAAAGCUUUUGGCACAGACUGUAAACCAAACUACAAUAUUUGCCAGUCCCUAUAUACAACUGUGCUUUGGGGAUUUGCGAAUGAUGUCUAUCAAGGUUUUAAUCAUUGAAAGUAAGAUCUGGUUGGAAUACUUUCUGCAGCUUAGGUCCAGUAGUAUUCUGUUUUGGUCUGUUAAGCUCAGCUGAUAGUUCUCCAUAUCAUAAUGUUCACAAAAAUCCACUGAUUGAUGCCAAAAGACAAUUGUGGGCCAGUUAACUUGGAAUUUUGGAAAGGUGUUUUAAAAUGGGGAAGAUUAAGUUUUGCACAGAGUUAAUAAAGUCAUGAAAAUUUCCUAAUACCAUUUUAUUGAUCUCUCACAAUCACAACAGUCAGUCCCACUAUGUCUAAUGUCUGUGAUUAGAUAGAAUGUACAUUACCAGUCCCUAAAUAUUUAUGUGCUUUGGGGAAUUUUAUGUGUUCUAUUGCAGUUAUUUUUUGCAGACUAGUUAAAAUAUAAAAUUAUAAUUUAUUUCUAACCCUGUGACAGGGGGUUGUAGGUUUUUUAACCAUCAUAAAUUGAUCAAUAAUAUUGUCAUAGUUGUAACUACAUGCCUACUAGGGCCGGGGCGGGUAACUUGGGUACUCGGAUCGGGUGGUUCCUGAGUAGGACCCACAUUUGGACUUGUCCCAGCCCUAAUGCUUACUAUUUCUACAUGCCUAAAAACAUUGUUUUUAUCCAUGAAAUAUGCUUAUAAAGCACAACACCUUAUUUAUAAACUGAUAAAACAUCAAGGUGUUAUGAUAUAAAGUAAUUUCUUGUCUAUAUUGUUGACAGGUUUCUGUUGUUGUGACCGACAGUGUGAAGUAUUAUCUGGAUUCUACAGUUUAUCCUGUGUUUCACCUUGAUCUGGUGCAAAGAUCAACUCCAGAGUGAAUCAAGCCUCAGCCAGACCUCAUUGGGCACGGAUUUUGACGAUUCCACCUUCAGGCCUCUUCAAGUUGACAGUGAAUGCAGCCUAGAUCAAACUGCAAUCAGCCAGAUCUUAUUGGGCCCAGAUUUUGAUGAUGCAUCCUUCCAGCUGCUUCCAAUUGACAGUGCAUGCAGCCUAGAUCAAGCAUCAAUCAGCCAGACAUCAUUGGGCCCAGAUUUUGAUGAUUCCACUUUCAGGCCUCUUACCAUUAGCAGUGCAUGCAGCCUAGAUCAAGCAACAAUCAGCCAGACAUCAUUGGGCCCUGAGUUUGAAGAUUCCACAUUCAGGAAGCUUCAGGUUGACAGUGCUUGCAGCCUAGAUCAAGCAUCAAUCAGCCAGACGUCAUUGGGCCCAGAUUUGGAUGAUUCCAUCUUCAGCAGUGAAUGCAACCUGUCACAAGACUACAGCCAGACUUUGAUGAAAUCCAUCGUCAGCCCUGAUCCUGGGAGCAGUGAUGCCAGCCUGUCUCAGGCCAUCAGCCAAUCAUCAGUUGGUGAAGAUUUCAGUGAAUCCAUCCUCAUAACCUAUUCCUUUCAGCUGUGAAUCCGGUCACAAGAUAUCAGCCAGAACAAAUGAGAGCUUCAUCAAAACUUCAAUCUCUAGAGUACUUUAUGACCCCAAACUUUAUCCCAGUCUGCCUAGUUAGAGACCUAUUCAUUCUAAAUUAGCGUCUAAAACGUUAUUCAUUAUUAAUUCAAUAUUUUCAUAAGAUAUUUAUGUCUGGACAUCACUUUAUUGAAUAUUAACAUUGUGCUACUGUAUCUAAUUCUAAUUAUCUCUUAAAAUGUUGGGAAAAUGUCUUAUAGAAGUCAACUAUAAAUUUACAAGACUAGUAAUCUUUUGAUGUUUUGUUUUCAAUUAAGAAAAAAAUACUGACUUGUGAAUUUGUGAUAACAUUGAAAAUGUUACUUUUAACUUAGCUAUAUUUUGUCAUUUAUUGACAAUUUCCUUCGGCGCUGACAUCAAAUUAUCUUAUUUAUCAUAUAAGGUAUACCGAAGAAGCCAGCCAGCCAAAAUUCAGCCCAUCACCAAUCGCCACAAACAUGACGUGGGCAAUAUUUUUUUCACCCUGAACAAGGCAUGUGUUAAAUUGAGAUGUAAACAAUUUCUUUUCCCAACUUGACAAUUCUUAUUUCAAUGAAGCUUCACCAACAAAUUUCAAUGGUAUUUUCCCCUUCACAUAUUGUACCUCCUGAACUCGUUUCAAUGUUGAGCAAGACAGACAUGUGCCACGCCUCUUCCUUGUUGCCCAGUGAGCAGUUUCAACUGCCUGUUCCAUGUAGUCAAACUCUCAGGUGAUUUGAGAAGCCAGGAGAUUAAUCCCAGCCUGAUUUAUGUAUCUCCAUGUCUAUAGGAAUGUAUUAAUAUUAUCCACCUUCGUGAGACCUGGAACCUACCACCUAUACAACAAGAUGCUGGCGAGAAAUGUGUGUGGAAAGUUCAAACUGACUUGCCAUUUUGUUAUGAGCAUAGAUAGGUGCAGACAGAGUUAGGAUCACAAUCAGGACUCGUUUUUACUCCAAACCCUCGUCCAGAUCUUGUCUUUAAUUGGCACAGAUUUUAUCAACCAAUCUCUUUAAUCUCAUGUAGGCUAACACAUAUCUUGUAGCAAUGCCUUGAUGUACCCUUCUUUUUAGUGGGGACAGAGGUGGCUCGAUCAGUUGUCUAAGUCUAGAGUUACGUUCCUUGGGCCCACCAGAAACCUAUGAUUGUGGGUUCGAUUCCCGGUUCGCCCUGAUUAUGUUUCUAGGUUCGUCAGCACCAUAACCGUGCUCGUGGGUUUCACCAAAGUGGUAAUUGUCUGAGACCUGCAUC
rnacentral:misc_RNA from 1 species